rfam:Salmo salar isolate Sally breed double haploid chromosome ssa18, whole genome shotgun sequence.
AAUGCACCAAUUUGUAAGUCGCUCUGGAUAAGAGCAUCUGCUAAAUGACUUAAA